GAAAUAGACUGUAUCUAAUGAAGAUAGUGCGCUCUAGUGUUGUAAAGGGCUCAAACAAAGUUGCAUUUAUCUUGGCUAGAAGGAAUUGAAAUUUGUUGACCUCAACAAAAAAUAAGAAAAACCUGAGAAAUCGUUGUUAAUUAUUUGUGUACAGAUUGUCGGAACAUGACAGAAACAAUAAAAACGCAGCGGCCAUAUCGGGAGGGGAGGAGGCACAGAAUUGUGUAUCACAUUAAGUGUGAGAUGAAAGAAAACAUAUGGAAAUGAGAGAAGGUCAGAAAUACAAGUAAAACGUGCUGAAGAAAAAACAAAUGUGAUUGUGUAUAAAAGAUGUGUGCAGUGAAAUCUCUUUUUCCGAAACAAACAAACAUCGAAGAAAAUGGGAAGAAGAAAAUGGAAAAUGAUUGUAAAACGACGACGACUAGAAAUCUGGAAAGAAAAUCAACACGUCCGCUCACCACGAAAGUUUCUUACGUUGUGACUCAAAACAUGCGAGUAAGAAAUAAACAAAGCAAACGACGAAAACUGAGACCGCGCGCGCACCAGAGAGCAUGCGCAUUUGAGCGCAUGGCGAGCGCGAGCGUGAGCAUUUAAGAGAGCAUCAUUGCCAAAGAGAAAUGAAGAAAUUUCAAUUUAUUUGAUUUUGUUCUCAGUUUUCUUGUUCUUGUUUACAAUAUUUGUCUUCCGAAUAUUUGCACGUUGUUUAUUUCCUUUAAUAUACAUACAUGUAUGUAUGCCUAGGUACAGAUAUUUUAUACGAACAUUGAGGUUAUACUAAUUAAAAAACAAAAUAUUUUCGUCAUAUAUUCACUUGGUCAAUAUACAGGUGAUCGUGCGAUGCGAGCAAUUAAUAUGCAUAAUUAUAAGCUAAUUGUUAAUGUAUUUCCAUUCAGUGGGUUUCUGGCCGUGUGUUUAGUAAUCGAAUCAAGUCGAAAAUGUUUUAAUUAUUUAUAACCACAUAUACACACACAUAUAUAAAUUUGUUUAUACAUGUGGGAUUUUGGCGUGGGCGUCGAUUGACUUGUUAAUCAUCUGCGAUAAAAGCGAAUACAAUCGCUUAUCGAUUAGCUAAUAGAAGGUGGGCUGCCCCUAGAAACCAGUCGACCCAAACUUCAAUUAACCAACACUGCUCAGCUGCAGCGCUACAUUUCCGUUAAACAAAAUUAAAAAAAAGCAACUCUUAUUUGCCUACAUAAAUUAGCAGGCCACGACUUAAGAAGAGAGCCGGCGAGCAAGAGAGAGAGAGAGAGGGAGAGAGAGAGGGGGCGACAGGUUGCCAUAAAAAGUAGCUAAAGAUGCGCUCAGUUGCGUUGCACUGCAUCCGCUUGACUUUUGCGCUGGGGAUUUUUCUUUUUUCCUUACUUUGUUUUGUUUUUCUUAUUUCAUUUUAAAAGUUCGUUAACCAGUUUCCCUAAACAUCGUUGACAUUUGAAGUCAAAUGCCCAUAAACGGCGUCGAUCGCUCAGACGCCCCCCCUCGCUUACUCUCCCUCUCCCUCUCUCUCUCUCUCUCUC